AAAAAUUUAGUUAAUAUUAUAACAUUAGUUUGUCAAACUAAAAUAAUUUUAUAUAAAUAAUUUUUA
rnacentral:tRNA from 1 species